UAAAGGCUGGGGAGGGACGGGGAAGUGUCACUGGGAGCGCCCCAGCCCCGCAGAGCCCCGGCCAUGCCGCCCCUGCAGCGUGCCCGCCUGCUCCUGCUGCUCGCCCUGCUCGCCCUGUGCCUGUGCCUCAGCCAGGCCAAGAAUGAGGCUUCUCCUACCAAAGCUCCUGCCCAGAGCAACACCACGGACAGGACCACCAGCAGCCUGAGCCCCCCCUGCGCCAGCCCCCCGCUCCUCUGCAUCGCCCUGGGGGUGCUGGCACCGCUCCUGCUCACCCUGCGCUGAGCCACAGGGUCCCUGCAGCCGUGGGGUGACCGUCCCCACCGUGGCACCCCCGAGAACUCCGUCCCCACCACGGCACCCCCGAGAACUCCGUCCCCAUCGUGGCACCCCCGGACGGCGCCGCUCCCGUUCCUGCCGCCCUGCGCUCCCCGAGUCCCCCCGGUUUCGGGGAGCCGAGCAAUAAACGCGCUGGUGCCGACA